UGGGGAAUAUUGCACAAUGGGGGGAACCCUGAUGCAGCCAUGCCGCGUGAAUGAAGAAGGCCUUCGGGUUGUAAAGUUCUUUCGGUGACGAGGAAGGUUGAUAGGUUAAUAGCCUAUCAAAUUGACGUUAAUCACAGAAGAAGCACCGGCUAACUCCGUGCCAGCAGCCGCGGUAAUACGGGGGGUGCGAGCGUUAAUCGGAAUAACUGGGCGUAAAGGGCACGCAGGCGGUGACUUAAGUGAGAUGUGAAAGCCCCGAGCUUAACUUGGGAAUUGCAUUUCAUACUGGGUCGCUAGAGUACUUUAGGGAGGGGUAGAAUUCCACGUGUAGCGGUGAAAUGCGUAGAGAUGUGGAGGAAUACCGAAGGCGAAGGCAGCCCCUUGGGAAUGUACUGACGCUCAUGUGCGAGAGCGUGGGGAGCAAACAGGAUUAGAUACCCUGGUAGUCCACGCUGUAAACGAUGUCGAUUUGGGGAUUGGGCUUUGAGCUUGGUGCCCGUAGCUAACGUGAUAAAUCGACCGCCUGGGGAGUACGGCCGCAAGGUUA
rnacentral:rRNA from 1 species